rnacentral:rRNA from 1 species
GUCCACGCUGUAAACGAUGUCGACUUGGAGGUUGUGCCCUUGAGGCGUGGCUUCCGGAGCUAACGCGUUAAGUCGACCGCCUGGGGAGUACGGCCGCAAGGUUAAAACUCAAAUGAAUUGACGGGGGCCCUCACAAGCGGUGGAGCAUGUGGUUUAAUUCGAUGCAACGCGAAGAACCUUACCUACUCUUGACAUCCACAGAACUUAGCAGAGAUGCUUCGGUGCCUUCGGGAACUGUGAGACAGGUGCUGCAUGGCUGUCGU